AGGGCACCACCAGGAGUGGAGCCUGCGGCUUAAUUUGACUCAACACGGGAAAACUCACCCGGCCCGGACACUGGAAGGAUUGACAGAUUGAGAGCUCUUUCUUGAUUCAGUGGGUGGUGGUGCAUGGCCGUUCUUAGUUGGUGGAGUGAUUUGUCUGGUUAAUUCCGAUAACGAACGAGACUCUAGCCUAUUAAAUAGAUCGUUGGCUUACAAACGCCGGCGAGACUUCUUAGAGGGACAGGCGGCGAUUCAGCCGCACGAAACAGAGCAAUAACAGGUCUGUGAUGCCCUUAGAUGUCCGGGCCGCACGCGCGCUACACUGAAGUGAUCAGCGUGCAUUUUGAAACCUACUCUGUCAAGAGUGGGGAGCCCAAUGAACCCUCUUCGUGAUUGGGAUAGGGGAUUGUAAUUAUUCCCCUUGAACGAGGAAUUCCCAGUAAGCGCGAAUCAUAAGUUUGCGCUGAUUACGUCCCUGCCCUUUGUACACACCGCCCGUCGCUACUACCGAUUGAAUGUUUU
rnacentral:rRNA from 1 species